UGCAACAUAGCAUUAAUGAAUCAAAUCCCAUUAGAACUUCGCAGUUAAGCAUGCUCAGGAUAGAGUAGUACUGGGAUGGGUGACCACUAGAGAAGUCCUAGUGUUUUAC
rnacentral:rRNA from 1 species